ACGGAAGGCAGCAGUGGGGAAUAUUGCACAAUGGGCGCAAGCCUGAUGCAGCGAUGCCGCGUGAGGGAAGAAGGUUUUCGGAUUGUAAACCUCUGUCAACAGGGACGAAAAUGACGGUACCUGUGAAGGAAGCUCCGGCUAACUACGUGCCAGCAGCCGCGGUAAUACGUAGGUGGCAAGCGUUAUCCGGAUUUACUGGGUGUAAAGGGCGCGUAGGCGGGGAUGCAAGUCAGAUGUGAAAUCUAUGGGCUCAACUCAUAAACUGCAUUUGAAACUGUAUCUCUUGAGUGCUGGAGAGGUAGAUGGAAUUCCUUGUGUAGCGGUGAAAUGCGUAGAUAUAAGGAAGAACACCAGUGGCGAAGGCGAUCUACUGGACAGUAACUGACGCUGAGGCGCGAGAGCGUGGGGAGCAAACAGGAUUAGAUACCCUGGUA
rnacentral:rRNA from 1 species